CUCGCUUGUCACAGCUUGAGCCGGGGCUGCCUCCAGCUCCCCUCCCUCCAAGUCACAACCCCCAGCAUCCCCUCCCCUUGGAGCUGCUCUCGGCAGGGCAACAAGCUCUCAGGCUGUUGCCUUGAGCUCCCUCCUCCUCCCCCUCCAGCAGCAGCCGCCAUACUGCGGGGCAACCCAAACUUGUUACACACUGGCACCAACUCCUCCUCCUGCUGCUGCCCCCUGUUGCAGGCGCCUCGGCAGCUGCACGCAGAGCAGCGGGAGGCGGCCCUGGGAAGCGGAGGAGUUGCAGCCUUGCAGUUUAAAUUACUAAGACAAAACGGAAGAAUGCUCUCAAGAGGCAGAUUAGUUGCUGAGAAACACUGUGGAAAGUGUGAACAAUUGCUGUAUUCUGUGACCUGGAAAAUGUGUAUUACCUUGGAGAAGUAAUCUAUUGGAUGCAUAGGCUUGGGAACGUCUUUCCAACCUGUUUAUUGCAACGUUAAGUUCGGCAGUGUCUACCCUAUAACAUACUAUUUGGAACUGGAGAUUUCUUCUGCAAAAGGAACAUUAGGUUGCAGUUAUCCUCCAACUUCCAUACAGCAAGGACUCCUAUCAUGGCUCUCUCUGGUUUGUAUGCAGCUUUGGGUUUUUUGUUUGGAGCAGCAGCAGCAUUUGGUCCAGUACCAAGAAUCACUUGGGAACAUAGAGAAGUACAACUGGUCCAUUUUCAGGAGCCAGAAGUGUUUAACUAUUCAACUUUAUUACUAAGUGAUGACAAAGAUGUUUUAUAUGUAGGAGCUAGAGAAGUGAUCUUUGCAUUAAAUUCAGUGAAUAUUGCUGAAAAACAC